UACGUAGGGUGCGAGCGUUAAUCGGAAUUACUGGGCGUAAAGCGUGCGUAGGCGGUUAUUUAAGUCGGGUGUGGAAGCCCCGGGCUCAACCUGGGAAUUGCAUUCGAGACUGAAUAGCUAGGGUACGGUAGAGGGAAGCGGAAUUUCCGGUGUAGCGGUGAAAUGCGUAGAUAUCGGAAGGAACAUCAGUGGCGAAAGCGGCUUCCUGGACCAGUACCGACGUUCAGGCACGAAAGCGUGGGGAGCAAACAGG
rnacentral:rRNA from 1 species